GGAGGGUCCAAGCGUUGUCCGGAUUUAUUGGGUGUAAAGGGUGUGUAGGCGGGCUUGUAAGUCAGAGGUGAAAUCCUACGGCUCAACCGUAGAACUGCCUUUGAAACUGCAGGUCUUGAGUCCUGGAGAGGUUGUUAGAAUUCGUGGUGUAGCGGUGAAAUGCGUAGAUAUCACGAGGAAUACCGGUUACGAAGGUUGACAACUGGACAGGUACUGACGCUGAGGCACGAAAGCGUGGGGAGCAAACAGGAUUAGAUACCCUGGUAGUCCACGCCGUAAACGAUGAUCACUCGGUGUCGCGGAGCAAUCUGCGGUGCCUAAGCUAACGCAUUAAGUGAUCCACCUGGGGGAUACGAUCGCAAGGUUG
rnacentral:rRNA from 1 species